UUNCCUUUCUAUCAGGGGAGCUGGCUUUUNNCAUGGGGUUUGGCCNUCGCUCUUUCGCCUCUCCCUCCUGAUUCUACCCUUGUCUUUUGCGCACCAGAUGUUUCCUCGGCAGGCUUGCUACNGAGNGNAANUCCAAACCUUUGUACUUGCAGUCAGCGUCAGUAACAAAUUAAUCAUUACAACUUUCAACAACGGAUCUCUUGGUUCUGGCAUCGAUGAAGAACGCAGCGAAAUGCGAUAAGUAGUGUGAAUUGCAGAAUUCAGUGAAUCAUCGAAUCUUUGAACGCACAUUGCGCCCCUUGGUAUUCCAUGGGGCAUGCCUGUUCGAGCGUCAUUUGUACCCUCAAGCUCUGCUUGGUGUUGGGUGAUUGUUCCUUGAACUCACCCCAAAACAAUUGGCAGCCGGCAUAUUGGCCUGGACGCAGCACAUCUNGCAUUNNUGUNUAUNUUNGUUGGCACCCAUCAAGGCAUUUUCNUUGCUC
rnacentral:misc_RNA from 1 species